rnacentral:rRNA from 1 species
UGCCUAAUACAUGCAAGUCGAGCGGACUGAUGGGAGCUUGCUCCCAUCAGUCAGCGGCGGACGGGUGAGUAACACGUGGGUAACCUGCCUGUAAGACUGGGAUAACUCCGGGAAACCGGGGCUAAUACCGGAUAACUCAUUUCCUCGCAUGAGGAAAUGUUGAAAGGUGGCUUUUAGCUAUCACUUACAGAUGGACCCGCGGCGCAUUAGCUAGUUGGUGAGGUAACGGCUCACCAAGGCGACGAUGCGUAGCCGACCUGAGAGGGUGAUCGGCCACACUGGGACUGAGACACGGCCCAGACUCCUACGGGAGGCAGCAGUAGGGAAUCUUCCGCAAUGGACGAAAGUCUGACGGAGCAACGCCGCGUGAGUGAUGAAGGUUUUCGGANCGUAAAACUCUGUUGUUAGGGAAGAACAAGUACCGUUCGAAUAGGGCGGUACCUUGACGGUACCUAACCAGAAAGCCACGGCUAACUACGUGCCAGCAGCCGCGGUAAUACGUAGGUGGCAAGCGUUGUCCGGAAUUAUUGGGCGUAAAGCGCGCGCAGGUGGUUCCUUAAGUCUGAUGUGAAAGCCCACGGCUCAACCGUGGAGGGUCAUUGGAAACUUGGGGACUUGAGUGCAGAAGAAGAAAGUGGAA